rnacentral:rRNA from 1 species
UACGUAGGGUGCGAGCGUUAAUCGGAAUUACUGGGCGUAAAGGGUGCGUAGGCGGUUUGAUAAGUCUGAUGUGAAAUCCCCGGGCUCAACCUGGGAACGGCAUUGGAGACUGUCAAGCUAGAGUGCGUCAGAGGGGGGUAGAAUUCCACGUGUAGCAGUGAAAUGCGUAGAUAUCAGGAGGAACACCGAUGGCGAAGGCAGGUCUCUGGGCUGACACUGACGCUCAUGCACGAAAGCGUGGGGAGCAAACAGG